CCGUCUCAACGAAAAAGGCACAGAUGCUGGGGUGCUCGUCGAGUCGGGCCUUUUGGACAGACAUCAGGUAGAAGCUGUGAAUAGCAUUGCAAGGGCUGCAAAGUCUGGAGCUCUUGGUGGGCAGUAAAUAGCACCAGUGUUUCUGAAGACACAGAGAAGGGCGUGGCUUCUUUCCAGGGGGGACGUCUGGGCCUUGAGUGGUGGAAUGGGCUGGAAUGUUAGCGCUGAAGCCCCGCUGGAGCUAGAGUCUUUGCUGGGACUGGGAUUGGAGGCUGCAGAAAGCGAAAAGCGGCAAGGUCGGCUGCAGGUCAUGGAGAAGCAACAAACGCGCUUCUCUGAAGGAUGGAAAAAUCGAUGCCCACGGAAGAGUGGGUGCAGGGAAGGUGUGGACAGCAGCGGAGGGGAGAAGACCAAGGGCGGGGGGGAGUCAGGCGCCUGGGGUCCCUCCGCUGCGGCACUGGCUGUUCCCCAUCUCCCAGAGCAAAGUCAGAGGUCAGUGUGGUCAGCACAGGCCCGGUGGUGUGGUUUUGGUUUUCAUUAUUUUGUUCUGAUUACCAAAGCUGUGCGUGUUCGUGUAGAAAAUCAAAAUCACCAAAUCCAUCCCCAGAGGUAGCCUCCCCGUUA